GACGAACGCUGGCGGCGUGCUUAACACAUGCAAGUCGAACGGAAAGGCCCUGCUUUUGUGGGGUGGUCUAGUGGCGAACGGGUGAGUAACACGUGAGUAAGCUGCACUUGAGUGUGGGAUGACUUCAGGAAGCUGGGGCUAAUACCGGAUAGGAGGUCAUGCUGCAUGGGGGGGGUUGGAAAGUUUAGGCGGUUUGGGAUGGACUCGCGGCUUAUCAGCUUGUUGGUGGGGUGGUGGCGUACCAAGGCUUUGAAGGGUAGCCUGGCUGAGAGGGUGAGCGGCCACGUCGCGUCUGAACUACGGCCCAGACUACUCCGGUAGGCAACAGUGGGGUAUAUUGCACAACACGCGGAAGUCUGAUCCGGCAACGCCGCGUGCGGGAUGUCGGCCUUUGAUUUGUAAACCGCUUUCGCCUGAGACGAAGCGUUAGUGACGGUAAUGGGUAAAGAAGCACCGGCUAACUACGUG
rnacentral:rRNA from 1 species